rnacentral:rRNA from 1 species
UGGGGAAUAUUGCACAAUGGAGGGAACUCUGAUGCAGCGACGCCGCGUGAGUGAUGAAGGAAUUCGUUUCGUAAAACUCUGUUCUAUGGGAAGAAAAGGACUGUACCAUAGGAGAAAGCUCCGGCUAAAUACGUGCCAGCAGCCGCGGUAAUACGUAUGGAGCGAGCGUUGUCCGGAAUUAUUGGGCGUAAAGGGUGCGCAGGCGGCUUUACAAGUUGGAUGUGAAAUAUUGUGGCUCAACCACAAACGUGCAUCCAAAACUGCAAAGCUUGAGUUAAGGAGAGGUAAGUGGAAUUCCUGGUGUAGCGGUGGAAUGCGUAGAUAUCAGGAGGAAUACCGGUGGCGAAGGCGACUUACUGGACUUAAACUGACGCUCUGGCACGAAAGCGUGGGGAGCAAACAGG